UUUGGGUUCACUGUGGGGAUGGAUGGAACUUAGAGGCACAGAUGAGGUGGGGUGGGCACCCCAAGCAAACGGAAGGACACCAGCAGACUUUAAGAGCCAGCGCUGUCUGUUUGGGAGGAGGAGAACAGACCGGUGUGACUGCAGCAUGAAAGAGGAUGUGAUGGCGGCUGUGGCUUGAACACAGACCGAGGCCUUACAACGGGUGGUUCUAAAAUUUAAGGCGAGGCCCAGAGAGGCCAAGCAGUUUUCUCAAGGUCACAGAGUUAGUAGAGAAGCAGAGUUCACCUCCAGCGCUCCUUCUGCUGGCCCUAGGCCACGGAUUCCCCUCCCAGGCUUGGGGCCCCUCCCUGUGGCCCACUCCCCUCUCCCCCGCCACAGGGGUCUUGCCCUCACGGCUGGUAGAUCCCAGGCUGCCAGUGCAGGCUGCCCGGCUCCCAAUCCUGCAUUUUUAGAUGAGUACGGAAAUGCUCUUAAAGAGGGUAGAAAAGUCAUCUCACAGCCUGGGUUAGGGACUCGGCCCGGCCCAGCCCAGACUGAAAUACCUGGAAUUUCCCUAGCUGGCCCCUCUCCUCUUCCUCACCCGACCCAGAUCGCUGACCCGUGGGUUUACUAUAGCCCUUUCUGUGCGCCGUCCACGUCAGUCCCCAGAAGUCCCUCUGAACAGUGGGCACAGAACCGACAGCUGGGGUUGGAAGACAGCGCUGCCUGCGUUAGGGCGGGGUCGGUGGGGAAGGAGCCGUGGUGGCAGGAGCGGCCGCCAGGUGGCGCCAUGAGCCUGGCGCCAGGCCAGCCCGUUGGUGGCCGACACCUCCUGUCUGGGCGGCCGGGUGGCUGUCCCGAGGGGCCACGGUGGGCUCUCCAGCGGGAUCGGAGCACGGGGGAGGCCCAACCCGGGGCUACCCUCUGCCCCCUCCUCUCCUUUGUCAGCCGUUGGGGACCACGCGGUUGGAUCCUACUCAGAUCAUCACAGCACGGGAGACCACGCGAUCCAUGCCCGUGAAAGAAUUAGGAGAACAAACCCAGAGAGCUGGGAGAAUUUAACCCAGGACUGCCUGCUCAGUGGACGACUCUGGGCAUCCUUUCUCCCCGCCCAGCCCAGCCUGAGAUGAUGAGCCUAGGGCAGAAAAUGAUGGAUGGAGAUUUUUCCUAGCCAAACUCCCCUGAAGGAGCCGGGAUUUCCAUCCAGAGUCCUGCUGCCCAUGGGUCCUAAGGCCUGUCCCCUUGCCCGGUGUGGUGAUGAACUGCUCCCCUGGUUCUGCACCCUCCUCCUCCCGUUAGCUUUGCCAUGGCUUCAGUUUGCAGACUUACUAUUUUGGCUUUAAAUUCCUUCCUCGUUUCUGUUGCUUAUGGAUUUCUUUAUUUUGAACUCAAUAUGCAUUUUAAUUUUUCGAUCCUAUUUUAUGGAGACUCUCCCUGUGUGAUGGAACAGAGCAGUGGAGAUCCAUGGUAGCUCAUUCUGUGAGUUACUUGAUGCCUAGGGCAUGAUUAUUUUUCCUCCUCUCUCUCCUACCGGACUGUGGGCUCCUUGAAGAAGGAAACUGUGCCCAUAUUAUUUCUGGUUCUUCGCUCAGUACCGGGCACAAACACAAUACGCAUGGCCUUUGCCGGGUGGAUAGUUAAAUGAUGGAAGGUGACUAUCAAAGGUUAUACAGCUCUCUCCACAUCUCCAGGAAGAAGAUUUCCUCAAUCAUUCCGAACACAAAGAUAUUCUUUUAUUCUGAAAAAUCUUUUACAGGUGAUUCUGUAGCAUAUGUCAUUAUUAUGACAUCUAUGUGCAUGUGUUUCUCAACAUUCUAAUGUGGUCAUCAAGCCAGCACCGCGUGGCAGGCCCUCAGAAGACGUGACACAAGGCCAGCACUGACCCGUGGUCCUCCAGCUGGAGGCCGUGACUUGGAAAGCAUGUCUAUCACGUGAUCGUUUGCCAUGAUUUCACUUAUGGAGAGGACUGUGUUUGUUUGGAGGAAAAUGUUCACCAGGCCUACUUGGGAGAGCAGCUAAGCCUUCAGGGAACUUGACAGGGAGAGGCUGCUGAGGCCUGAGGCCGACAAGGGCAGCAUUUUCCUGGUUGAGGCCGAGGCAGAGGGGGAGGGGAGGAGUGGAAGCCAGGAGGGUGAAAGCCACAAGCUUGCCCCAUGCUGUCCUCGGGAUGGCACGGUGCUCCCGAACCUGUGCACGUGUAGCAAACAUAGAAACGCAAUGAUGAGAGAUCCACAAUCACAGCCUGAUAUUUAACCAAACUUUCCCAGAUAUUAAUAACUAAAGUAAAAAAGGAAGGCAAAGAUAUGGACCUUAAGUGGCACAAUAAAUAAAUUUAACUGAAUGUAUAUCCAGGAGUCUGUACCUAACUGAGGCAGGAGACGGACGGGCCCCAGGCUGAGCAGCUGGAGUCUGGCCCCUGUGGACAGAGACCCCGAGAUAAACAUCAUAGCAGGAGCAGGGAGAAGCCUCUUCCCCUAACCCCAAACCCUGGAGGAGGGGUUGACCCCCAGAGGGACUCCAAGACAGACAGCCUUCCUGCAGCAGAAGAGGACACCCUGGUCUCUCUCCGGUGCCUCCAGGAAGUAAACACUCCGUCGUACCAUUUGUGUGAAGAGAAAAUUAGCUCUCAUUGGAGGGUUGGGGUAAAAAUAUCUCCAGUCUGUAAACACAUCGGUUGGGGCAUCCUGGAGGCACACGACUGGAGCACCACGGGCUGCAGGUGCCUGUCUGCCCUGCGUCUUCUCACCCCCACAGGUGCUCCUGGCUCUGCUUCAGGACAACCGGGUCGCACACGUGUCCCCAGCCCUGGAGCAUAGAUUAGGAAAAGUUUCUCACUUUUCUCCAGGUCAGUGGAAAAGUUCUUGAGACCAAGUGGAGGGAAAGAAAGAGCUGGUCUGUUUUCUGUCUCAGCAGAUGUCCUUCUGGAAGGCGAUGGGGGGUGUCGUUUACCAGCAUCCCUGACCCCUCUUCCCGGGCAUCCUGGCACCCAGCCAAGCCCUGUUUCUCUGCUUUCUCAGAGAAGGUGCUCAGGCUGACACCCCGACAGGGAGCUGGGGUUCCUAAUUCUUAGGGCUCUCAGCCCGGGAGAAGCAACUCCUAUGUCAGGCUUCCUCGUGGCCAUGUUGCUGUCCAUCCCUGUUGGUGGUACCAUGGCUGCCUGUACCCCGGUGAAUAAAGAGGCCCUGACUGAUGCUGACCCUGGGCAGAGGGGAGGGGCUCUUUCUUCCACCCACAGCAUGUAUGAUAUCUUUACUUAAACGCACACACACACUGACACACUCUAGCACAUGGCACAGAGCCUCCUUCGGGUGAAGCGUGUAAGGCCUGCUCAAUCGCUUCUUAAAAAAGUUUCUCUCUAGGAAGCCACUGUAAGCCCAAACUUUAGCAUUAAUAUGACCUUUUUCGAGUGAACCCCUACAAAGGAGAGGAACGUGCAAAUAAAUCAAAGUGCAGACUUUGCUUCUUAAUCCAGCAUAAGCAGCAUGUCUGGUUGGUACCCCCAGAAAAAUGGGGUUCACUUCUUGGUGGGUGUGGAGCCAGAAGACACAACCAAGCCAGAGAGUGGGAGAAGGGAGGGUUUAUUACUGGCAGCAAGUGAGGAGAACACAGGGGAUCUUCCCCGAAGCAGUGUCUCCCGGAAGAGCAAAACUGGGGAAGUGUUACCCUAAGGGUCACAUGCAUCUUCAUGAAGGGGCUUGAGCAGAGGCAAACUCAGCAUAGAAUUGGGGCAAAGGUCAACAGAGUCCACGCUUGAGGGUCCACAUCAUUGCUCUGUCCUCCUCCUGGGUGGGGGCCUUAGUUCCUGCAGAACUCAGAGACUGGAUCCCAUGUUAUAUGUAGCCCUUGAAGAGGAAAUGGGACUCUGUUCUACUUCUGAGCUGUUGUUUCUUGACUGCUUUUCCUGUGUUCCCACAUUCCCUUACUUCUCUGAGAGCAUUGAUUACUGAGACCUGUUCAAGGGCAAGCGCUGUGGCCAAGAUUCGAUCACAAAAUGGCUCAGGCCAGAAAUGCCUUCUCUUAUGUCUAGAAAGCCAUGCCUGGUUCUCUCUCUCUGGGGACACCCUACUCUAUCGUUAAAGGGGAUGUCUGCUACUUGCACACACAAAAAUUGUUGCCUGCCAUUUCAGUAAACAAAGAAUGCUGCCUGCCAUUCUGGUAAACAGUGAAUGCUGCCCACCAGCAAGCCAUCAGACGCUGCAGCCCACCCUGCUGUGAGCCCUGAGAGGAACUCAGGACGGAGGAGAAAAGGAUACAGGCCCUAGUUAAGGUGCACCUCAAAGGACUGAUUUCAAUGAGCCCAGACUCUUGCAUCCUCCCAUACAUAGAAAAGCACUACAGUCAUUAAUUUGAGAUGUCUGUUUAUUUUUGUGAUUAGCAGUCAUCUUUUGAUGUUUGACUACCUGUGAUUUUUUUUCAGCAAAAACUUCUCUACAUCCUGGCUCUCCCCUACCUCUUUGGAGCAGUCCCUCAGAGCUAUCUGCGAGGCUGUCUCCCCAGCUGUUGACCUCAGUAAGGUCCCGAAUAAAACAUAACUUUCAACUUC